UUUUUUUUUUUAGAGUCUGAGCUACCAGGGAAGCCCCAGUCUUGCAGGCAGGAAUAUUUUUAAUUUGUAACGAAGUCCUUCCCUGAUGUUCCAGCCUUCGAUGCAAAGUUAGUAGUUAAAAAGAGUUUGCUUGCACAGUGAAUCGCACCCGUAGCCCGGCGGGAGUUAAGGAGCCGGGAACGAGAAGGUGGCAGCGGCGGUGAGACGGUGGGUGUGCCAUCGCCCCCACCCCGCGGGUGCACCGGAGCAUCCAGGCCGGGCCCACGCGCACCCAGAGGGCCGCACCCACCGCCUGGCGCUCCUCGCCGCCUCCCUCAUCCGGGGUGGGCAUCCAUCACGGAGCCCGGGCUCCCUCCCUCCCGUCUCCUCCGGGCUCCUCCGCUCUCCUCCCUGGGUUUGCCUCAUUUGCAUUCCCCCGGCUCCCAGCUCCUCGGCAAAGUGACCUCCGCACACAGCCGCGCCAAAGGCUUCCACCGCGGAGGGAGACCCCGCCUCCCGCCGCCCUCCUCGGCCGGGGACGGGCGGGGGCCCCAGCCGAGGGCUGCAGAGAGGAAGGCAGGGUGCCCAGGGCAGUGGAGGAACUCCGAAGGGAUUUGAACCCGCGGCCUCAGAUCCUCAGCGGGGCGAGAGUGGGACGUGGAGUAAUCAAGACUCUCGGCUUCUCUGGACAAACGGGAAGACCCCCCCCCCCCAACACUGGGCAUCCUGACCCGAGGGCAAUAGUCAGGUGAGGCUGAGAAGCUGCUGCUCCCUUCAAGGGUUCUACUAUUGUAUUUAACGAAUACAGAAGUGGAUGCUCACAGCAGCUUUCUGACUUCAAGGCCACACAGCCAAGGUUCGAAUCCAGGUGGUCUGGCUCCAGAACCCACACACUUGAUUGCUUCACCAUACAAUCCCCAGAUGAGAGAAGAUGCUGAGUUUUAGAGCUGCAUUUUACAGCUGAAGAAAUGAAGCCUAGGGAGAAAGAGUGAUUUCUGCCUUCUAACCUAGCCCAGCCUGCCUUAUCCCUUUUAAGCCUUCCCAGCCCUCUUCAGCAGAGUGCCUCUCCGAACCUUGGCUCUCACUAUCCAUGUACCUCGUUUGGCAAUUAAUCCUGGCGCCUCCUGACACUG